rnacentral:rRNA from 1 species
GUCGAGCGGAUGAGAAGAGCUUGCUCUUCGAUUCAGCGGCGGACGGGUGAGUAAUGCCUAGGAAUCUGCCUGGUAGUGGGGGACAACGUUUCGAAAGGAACGCUAAUACCGCAUACGUCCUACGGGAGAAAGCAGGGGACCUUCGGGCCUUGCGCUAUCAGAUGAGCCUAGGUCGGAUUAGCUAGUUGGUGAGGUAAUGGCUCACCAAGGCUACGAUCCGUAACUGGUCUGAGAGGAUGAUCAGUCACACUGGAACUGAGACACGGUCCAGACUCCUACGGGAGGCAGCAGUGGGGAAUAUUGGACAAUGGGCGAAAGCCUGAUCCAGCCAUGCCGCGUGUGUGAAGAAGGUCUUCGGAUUGUAAAGCACUUUAAGUUGGGAGGAAGGGCAGUAAGCUAAUACCUUGCUGUUUUGACGUUACCGACAGAAUAAGCACCGGCUAACUCUGUGCCAGCAGCCGCGGUAAUACAGAGGGUGCAAGCGUUAAUCGGAAUUACUGGGCGUAAAGCGCGCGUAGGUGGUUUGUUAAGUUGGAUGUGAAAGCCCCGGGCUCAACCUGGGAACUGCAUCCAAAACUGGCAAGCUAGAGUAUGGUAGAGGGUGGUGGAAUUUCCUGUGUAGCGGUGAAAUGCGUAGAUAUAGGAAGGAACACCAGUGGCGAAGGCGACCACCUGGACUGAUACUGACACUGAGGUGCGAAAGCGUGGGG